rnacentral:rRNA from 1 species
UACGAAGGGGGCUAGCGUUGCUCGGAAUCACUGGGCGUAAAGGGUGCGUAGGCGGGUCUUUAAGUCAGGGGUGAAAUCCUGGAGCUCAACUCCAGAACUGCCUUUGAUACUGAGGAUCUUGAGUACGGGAGAGGUGAGUGGAACUGCGAGUGUAGAGGUGGAAUUCGUAGAUAUUAGGAAGAACACCGGUGGCGAAGGCGGCAUCCUGGACCGACACUGACGCUGAGGCGCGAAAGCUAGGGUAGCAAACGGG